CUGUGUGCAUUGUGUCCGAAAACACCCACGGGGGGGAUCAUCUCAACUCAUCCACACACACACGACAAUCGAUCGCUAAAUCGAUAUCCUCCAUCCAGUGCAUCCGAAUUACCUCUUUCGUAACGUCGCCAUUUCCGUAAACGAAGGUCACCAGUGUGUGCUAGUGAGAGGGUGCAAAUCAUCCUUUUUUUGUUCAAAACUUGAAAGUGUCGUUCGUGAAGAACUGCUGCAUACUUCAAGGUCAUUAUCUAAAAUAAAAAACAGACACUUCAGCGCUGCGGGGAUUUAUUUUUAAAUAUAUUUUAUAUUUAUCCAGAGCGGGUUGUGUUUACUCGAUAAAUAAAUUAAUAUUUUAGUCUUAACUCGAGUGGGUCCUUGAUCGGGUGUUUUUAGUGCCAAAAAAGUUCGAUGGGAAAACAUCACGAGUUGAUCGUGGACUUGAGACGGAAUUCCCCGAACGAACCGUGGGGCUUUAGUUUGGUAGGGGGCGCUGACGUUAAAACACCCUUGAUCGUUACGAGGGUUGCCUUUGGAUCUCCGGCCCAAGGAGGUCUUCAACGAGGAGACAUCAUCACUAAAGUAGGCAAUUACGAUUCUAGAGACAUCAGACACGAAGAUGCUCAGAAUUUAUUUCGAAAUGCUGGCAGUAACGUUCGCUUGGUAGUUCAAAGAGAAACCGCUCCUAGACAAAAUGCCAGCACUGGAUCAUCAAGAAACAGCUCCCACUAUAGUCCCUUAUCGGUGUCUCCUAAUUUAUCGCCCAGAGGUCCGGGACUCAGUCCGGGUUAUAGUCCAGCUGGAUCGGCACUGACACCCGUAUACACGUCUCCUCUCACUCCCAUUGAUAAUAAUUACUUUGAACCUUACGAAUAUGGUCAGAGAAAGAGAGAUGGUAAUGAAGAUGGGGAGGUUCACGUCAUGAAACAGCCCUACCGCACCACCCCCUUAGUAUUACCUGGUGCCAAAGUGAAGAGGGAACCCGGACCGACUGAAAGUUAUCUGCGUCAUCAUCCUAAUCCUAGUGUACGGGCGCCGCCCCAUCAUCUUGAUUAUGGUCAUAAGGUAGCGAACACCGUUUUAGAAAGAAUAACAACUGGAGAUCCAAACAAACAGUUAGUACACAAACAAUUUAACUCUCCGAUCAACGUGUACAGUGAACCGAACAUUUUGGACACUAUCCACAGGCAGACCGGCGUGCAAGCUCCUAAGAGACACGUAAAGUUUAACCCUGCCGAGAGCGCGACUUACCAGUACCUCCAAGAGGAGGAAAUGGGAGGAUACGGAGCGCCGGUGCAGGAGGUGGUGACACCCCCGCAGAGUAAAAUUUACACACCCACCAAGGUAACAGACAUUAAAAGUACGAUUAAAACCGCUUAGUGACCGCUUGAUGAAUUAUUGAUCCAUAUGCUUCUUAAGCUGCUUUAAUGUGAGAAGUAUUCUCCAUCCCUCGUAGAUUGGCUCUUUAAAA
rnacentral:misc_RNA from 1 species